UGAGGAAUAUUGGACAAUGGGCGCAAGCCUGAUCCAGCCAUGCCGCGUGAGUGAAGAAGGCCUUCGGGUUGUAAAGCUCUUUUUAGAUGUGAAGAUAAUGACGGUAGCAUCAGAAAAAGCCCCGGCUAAAUUCGUGCCAGCAGCCGCGGUAAUACGAAUGGGGCAAGCGUUGUUCGGAUUUACUGGGCGUAAAGGGCGCGUAGGCGGCAUGACAAGUCACUUGUGAAAUCUCUGGGCUUAACCCAGAACGGCCAAGUGAUACUGUCGCGCUAGAGUGCAGAAGGGGCAAUCGGAAUUCUUGGUGUAGCGGUGAAAUGCGUAGAUAUCAAGAGGAACACCUGAGGUGAAGACGGGUUGCUGGGCUGACACUGACGCUGAGGCGCGAAAGCCAGGGGAGCAAACGGGAUUAGAUACCCGCGUAGUCCCUGAGCGGGCUGGCAAGGCGCAU
rnacentral:rRNA from 1 species